GGGGAUUUAGCUCAGAGGUAGAGCACUUGCCUAGCAAGCACAAGGCCCUGGGUUCGAUCCCCAGCUCCG
rnacentral:tRNA from 1 species